CGUCACCUGCGGUGCUCGACAAGCGGACCGGGUUACCUCGGACCCUAAUUGAAACACCCACGGGGCCACUGGCUUGCUGGCAGCAUUGUGCAAGUCCGUCACGUGCGGAAAGCCUUACCUGCCGUAGCCGGCUCCACCUGUUGCUCUGGUUCGAGAGCAACGGCCCGCACCGGCAUCGGCGGGUGACGC
rnacentral:sRNA from 1 species